GAUGAACGCUGGCGGCGUGCUUAACACAUGCAAGUCGAACGGAAAGGCCCAAGCUUGCUUGGGUACUCGAGUGGCGAACGGGUGAGUAACACGUGGGUGAUCUGCCCUGCACUUCGGGAUAAGCCUGGGAAACUGGGUCUAAUACCGGAUAGGACCACUUCUUGGAUGUUGUGGUGGAAAGUUUUUCGGUGUGGGAUGAGCUCGCGGCCUAUCAGCUUGUUGGUGGGGUAAUGGCCUACCAAGGCGUCGACGGGUAGCCGGCCUGAGAGGGUGUACGGCCACAUUGGGACUGAGAUACGGCCCAGACUCCUACGGGAGGCAGCAGUGGGGAAUAUUGCACAAUGGGCGCAAGCCUGAUGCAGCGACGCCGCGUGGGGGAUGACGGCCUUCGGGUUGUAAACUCCUUUCGCUGGGGACGAAGCUUAUUUUGUGACGGUACCUGGAGAAGAAGCACCGGCUAACUACGUG
rnacentral:rRNA from 1 species